AUAAAUAUAGUUUAAUAAAAACAUUAUAUUUUCAUUAUAAAAAUAAUAUGACUAUUUAUUUAUU
rnacentral:tRNA from 1 species